GAAGUGAGAAUGCCGGUAUGAGUAGCGAAAGACGGGUGAGAAUCCCGUCCACCGAAUAACUAAGGUUUCCUGGGGAAGGCUCGUCCUCCCAGGGUUAGUCGGGACCUAAGGCGAGGCCGAUAGGCGUAGUCGAUGGACAACAGGUUGAUAUUCCUGUACUUCUAUAAAUCGUUUGAGCAAUGGAGGGACGCAGGAGGCUAAGAAAAGCGUACGACUGGAAGUGUACGCCCAAGCAGUGAGUCGGCUGAUGAGUCAAAUGCUUAUCACGGAUGCGACAAGCUGUGACGGGGAGGGAAGUUUAGUACCGAAGUUUCUGAUGUCACACUGCCGAGAAAAGCUUCUAGCAAGAUUUAUAGGACCCGUACCGCAAACCGACACAGGUAGUUGAGGAGAGAAUCCUAAGGUGAGCGAGCGAACUCUCGUUAAGGAACUCGGCAAAAUGACCCCGUAACUUCGGGAGAAGGGGUGCUGACAGAGAUGUCAGCCGCAGUGAAUAGGCCCAGGCGACUGUUUAUCAAAAACACAGGUCUCUGCAAAAUCGAAAGAUGACGUAUAGGGGCUGACGCCUGCCCGGUGCUGGAAGGUUAAGAGGAGAGGUUAGCCGCAAGGCGAAGCUUUGAAUUGAAGCCCCAGUAAACGGCGGCCGUAACUAUAACGGUCCUAAGGUAGCGAAAUUCCUUGUCGGGUAAGUUCCGACCCGCACGAAAGGCGUAACGAUUUGGGCACUGUCUCAACGAUGGACUCGGUGAAAUCAUAGUACCUGUGAAGAUGCAGGUUACCCGCGACAGGACGGAAAGACCCCAUGGAGCUUUACUGUAGUUUGAUAUUGAGUGUUUGUGUCACAUGUACAGGAUAGGUAGGAGCUGAAGAAUCCGGGACGCCAGUUUCGGAGGAGGCAACGGUGGGAUACUACCCUUGUGACAUGACCACUCUAACCCGCACCCCUUACCGGGGUGGGAGACAGUGUCAGACGGGCAGUUUGACUGGGGCGGUCGCCUCCUAAAAUGUAACGGAGGCGCCCAAAGGUUCCCUCAGAAUGGUUGGAAAUCAUUCGUAGAGUGUAAAGGCAGAAGGGAGCUUGACUGCGAGACCUACAAGUCGAGCAGGGACGAAAGUCGGGCUUAGUGAUCCGGUGGUACCGUAUGGAAGGGCCAUCGCUCAACGGAUAAAAGCUACCCUGGGGAUAACAGGCUUAUCUCCCCCAAGAGUCCACAUCGACGGGGAGGUUUGGCACCUCGAUGUCGGCUCAUCGCAUCCUGGGGCUGAAGUCGGUCCCAAG
rnacentral:rRNA from 1 species